rnacentral:rRNA from 1 species
AGUGAACGCUGGCGGUAGGCCUAACACAUGCAAGUCGAGCGGCAGCACAGUAAGAGCUUGCUCUUACGGGUGGCGAGUGGCGGACGGGUGAGGAAUACAUCGGAAUCUACUUUUUCGUGGGGGAUAACGUAGGGAAACUUACGCUAAUACCGCAUACGACCUACGGGUGAAAGCAGGGGAUCUUCGGACCUUGCGCGAUUGAAAGAGCCGAUGUCGGAUUAGCUAGUUGGCGGGGUAAAGGCCCACCAAGGCGACGAUCCGUAGCUGGUCUGAGAGGAUGAUCAGCCACACUGGAACUGAGACACGGUCCAGACCCCUACGGGAGGCAGCAGUGGGGAAUAUUGGACAAUGGGCGCAAGCCUGAUCCAGCCAUACCGCGUGGGUGAAGAAGGCCUUCGGGUUGUAAAGCCCUUUUGUUGGGAAAGAAAAGCAGCAGGUUAAUACCCCGCUGUUCUGACGGUACCCAAAGAAUAAGCACCGGCUAACUUCGUG